AGGAAUCUGCCUAUUAGUGGGGGACAACAUCUCGAAGGGGAUGCUAAUACCGCAUACGUCCUACGGGAGAAAGCAGGGGAUCACUUGUGACCUUGCGCUAAUAGAUGAGCCUAAGUCGGAUUAGCUAGUUGGUGGGGUAAAGGCCUACCAAGGCGACGAUCUGUAGCGGGUCUGAGAGGAUGAUCCGCCACACUGGGACUGAGACACGGCCCAGACUCCUACGGGAGGCAGCAGUGGGGAAUAUUGGACAAUGGGGGGAACCCUGAUCCAGCCAUGCCGCGUGUGUGAAGAAGGCCUUAUGGUUGUAAAGCACUUUAAGCGAGGAGGAGGCUCUUUUGGUUAAUACCCAGAAUGAGUGGACGUUACUCGCAGAAUAAGCACCGGCUAACUCUGUGCCAGCAGCCGCGGUAAUACAGAGGGUGCAAGCGUUAAUCGGAUUUACUGGGCGUAAAGCGCGCGUAGGCGGCCAAUUAAGUCAAAUGUGAAAUCCCCGAGCUUAACUUGGGAAUUGCAUUCGAUACUGGUUGGCUAGAGUGUGGGAGAGGAUGGUAGAAUUCCAGGU
rnacentral:rRNA from 1 species